GAUGAACGCUGGCGGCGUGCCUAAUACAUGCCAGUCGAGCGAACAGACGAGGAGCUUGCUCCUCUGACGUUAGCGGCGGACGGGUGAGUAACACGUGGAUAACCUACCUAUAAGACUGGGAUAACUUCGGGAAACCGGAGCUAAUACCGGAUAAUAUAUUGAACCGCAUGGUUCAAUAGUGAAAGACGGUUUUGCUGUCACUUAUAGAUGGAUCCGCGCCGCAUUAGCUAGUUGGUAAGGUAACGGCUUACCAAGGCGACGAUGCGUAGCCGACCUGAGAGGGUGAUCGGCCACACUGGAACUGAGACACGGUCCAGACACCUACGGGAGGCAGCAGUAGGGAAUCUUCCGCAAUGGGCGAAAGCCUGACGGAGCAACGCCGCGUGAGUGAUGAAGGUCUUCGGAUCGUAAAACUCUGUUAUUAGGGAAGAACAAAUGUGUAAGUAACUAUGCACGUCUUGACGGUACCUAAUCAGAAAGCCACGGCUAACUACGUG
rnacentral:rRNA from 1 species